CUAUCUUCCAAUCAAAUACCUCCCGAACCCUUCUCCCAACUCCUCAUCUCACGUCGGCCUUCUCCAUCCAACCCCUCCUCUCACGCCCUCUCCUUCCAACUCCUCUCCGGCAAACCCCUCUCCGGCGAAUCCCUCUCCGCGAACCACUCCUCCGAACUCCUCUCCGUCAAGACCGCGGGCAAAAUUUCCUCACCUUAUUCCUUCACCUCUUCAUGCCAUAAUCUCUUCGCCACACUGUCCAAUCUCUUUGGCCCCACCUUCCUCAAGCGGCAGAUUUCGGCGCUGAGGCCAUCGACCACGGAAGAUCGACCCAUCUCUCCGCCUCCUUCGCCCCCGACACAGAGGCAGUGUGACCACGACAGAUCCCGAUGUUUUCUGGUUUGUUUCAACUAUGAGUGCAAGCUCUGCUUGACGCUACAUAACAACGAGGGAAAUUAUCUGGCUCACACCCAGGGAAAGUGCCACCAGACUAACCUCGCCAAACGAGCUGCCCGCGAGACCAAGGAAGCACCGGCCCAGCCUCAGCCCCACAAGCGGAAUGUCUCCCUUCGCAAGUCCGUGCAUUUCCACAGCUUGCCAACUUCAAUUGGAGAGGGCUUCUUCAAGUGAAGAGUCGUUCACCAUCGUCAUGUCGAAGUGUGCGGCCACCAGCAGAGUUUUGUUUGAAUGCUUCAUGGAUUUGCAUCAUUGAUGGAUAUGGAUGAUUAUAGGAGCAACAACUACAUGCUAUGUGGCACUACAUCAAAACCUCAAAGGUGUGACCAAAAAGUACUUCGACGAAGAACUAUUAAGAAGACUUUGGGAUUUAAACGAGAAGAUAGUUAAAGCCAAUGAGUAAAGAACAUUCAAGUCAAGAGGAUAAGUAGCAUCUAUCAAGAUUCUUUAAGUUCAUGCAAUAAGAUGUAGUUGAUAGGAAUAGUUUUGAGUGUUUCCUAAUUAACGUUUCUUUGUAUGUAAGUAAUUAUGUGUGUUAUAGAAGUGUAAGGAUGAUAAUUUCUAUAUUGAUCUUAGUUAUUUAUUUAA